rnacentral:rRNA from 1 species
AGAACGAACGCUGGCGGCAUGCCUAAUACAUGCAAGUCGAACGAACACUUCGGUGUUAGUGGCGCACGGGUGCGUAACGCGUGGGAAUCUGCCCUUGGGUUCGGAAUAACAGUUGGAAACGACUGCUAAUACCGGAUGAUAUCGAAAGAUCAAAGAUUUAUCGCCCAGGGAUGAGCCCGCGUAGGAUUAGCUAGUUGGUGAGGUAAAGGCUCACCAAGGCGACGAUCCUUAGCUGGUCUGAGAGGAUGAUCAGUCACACCGGAACUGAGACACGGUCCGACUCCUACGGGAGCAGCAGGUGGGGAAUAGUUGGACAAUGGGCG